rnacentral:rRNA from 1 species
GAUGAACGCUGGCGGCGUGCUUAACACAUGCAAGUCGAACGAAGCACUUAAACCUGAUUCUUCGGAUGAAGGUUUUUGUGACUGAGUGGCGGACGGGUGAGUAACGCGUGGGUAACCUGCCUCAUACAGGGGGAUAACAGUUAGAAAUGACUGCUAAUACCGCAUAAGACCACAGAGCCGCAUGGCUCAGUGGGAAAAACUCCGGUGGUAUGAGAUGGACCCGCGUCUGAUUAGGUAGUUGGUGGGGUAACGGCCUACCAAGCCAACGAUCGGUAGCCGACCUGAGAGGGUGACCGGCCACAUUGGGACUGAGACACGGCCCAAACUCCUACGGGAGGCAGCAGUGGGGAAUAUUGCACAAUGGGGGAAACCCUGAUGCAGCGACGCCGCGUGAGCGAAGAAGUAUUUCGGUAUGUAAAGCUCUAUCAGCAGGGAAGAAAAUGACGGUACCUGACUAAGAAGCACCGGCUAAAUACGUGCCAGCCGCCGCAGUAAUAC